ACCAAGGUCAAAGACCAAAUAUUAGAACAACAGGAGACAUACUACCACCAAAAAUUCCACUAAUUCAACUGAUAGUCGAUUGACACCAAAUUUCUCAGGAAACUGUGCUGAGAACUACAACUCAACAGCAAGAGAGAGAAAGGCAUUUCCAGAGACUGAGAACCCUCCACCUGUCACUGCCUCUAAAAUGACCAGAGACCUUCAUCCAGGGAGGAGAGAAUUAAACCAGAAGGGAUAAUGGGGUUUGGUAAGAAUGAUGAACAACGAGAUGUGCACAAGCAGCGACUAAUGUAGUCGUUGACGGUGAAAAUCAAGAAACAUAACAACGAUAUGGAACUAGACCAGCCACGAGGAGGAGGGGCUGCAGAGGCAGAUGCACAAGUGCUCCCACGUUCGCCUUCUCCAGAAGGGGAUGGAUACUAUUUCAGGUCUGGUUGGGUGGAGCAGCCUUGGUAAGACGCUUAGCGUAAGCACGAAGAGCAGGUACGGAACCGUAACGUGGAAGGGUGACAAAGAAAACCCGACCGUUCCAAGAAAAGAAAACUAAAUCUGAGCAGAAAUACCAAAGCUAGAUGGCCGUGCUAAGUCCUAACAGGUGAGGGAGGAGGAAAAUACACGGAGCACGCCCACCCGUGACACUGGACCCCAGAGUCGGAAUCUGUGUUCUUGACUCCGUGCAUGGAGGAAUCACCUGGAAGCGGACUUGCAGGGCCUCGCCACAGGUCCACGGGCAGCAGAUUGGAUUUGCAAGCUGGGGAAUUGGUGUCUGAGUUCUAAUUUCAAGUGGUCCAAACAGCGCCUUGGGAAGCUGCCCAAAACACGGAAGAAGAGAGGACACCUCAGGUCUUGGUUGGCAGGGUCUCCUCGUGCUCCAGAUUUGAGACUGGGAAGCUUCCCAAGGCCCCAGGGCCAGUCUGCACUGGGCUGAGCGGGGAACCGAGGCUGGGUCUGUUUCUGGAGACUGGCUGCAUCCGGGACCGGGCUCUGAGCAUUGAGCGGUCUGCAGGGGACCCGUUAAAACACACCUCCUGCGGGACACUCCCCAACCGCCUGGCCAGAUGCUCCCUGGAGUUGAUGUAAGACGUGCUGGGACGUGCCAGGCGGCAGCCAAGAAGGAUGUGAGUGGCAGGAGCCGCCACCUGGGAGCCAGGGAAUGAGUCCAAGAGAGCCAGUGCGGACGAGCGGGAAGUUGGGGUAGGUGACAAAGGACGUGGGACUCCAGGGACUUGCCGGGGACCGUCCUCCGGAAGUGCCACGCAGCAGCGUCCCGCGGUGUGGACGGAGUCGCCUUCCUGUCUCUACCGCCAGCAGCACCUGUUACUGGGAUGCUCCGCUUCCCCUGUGAGGGCCGCCGGCAGGUGUGGGGGAAGCCCGGGCCCUGAGCACCUGAGGUCACCGGGCCCUGUGUCACUGGCAGGUGGCACGUCCCCUCCAGGGCGGGGGCAGGGCGCUACUGUGCCGGGGCAGGUGGCCUGGGGUGGGCAGCCCCCUGGGGCCCUGCUCUGCAGGAUGCACACGUGCACAAGCAGCCUGGAGGCCUUGGGGGGAGACGGCAGGAGACCCCCCACCCGGGGCACCAGCUGGAUUCCCAGGGCCUGCUUCCUGAAACGCUGCUCUUUGGCCUCCCUGGAGCCUGCUCUCAGGUCCCCACGCUGGGACCACGGAGGGGGUGGGAGCGAUCUGCCCCCCACAAUCACGGCCGGCUUCUCCCCUGCUGACACGGCUGAGAUUUCGUUCCCUUUCUCUCCUGUCCCAUCAUAACUUCGCCCUCCUGGGUUUCCUUCCCAGGCCAGGAGGUAGGCCGGGCAGACAGGGCAGGGGUCUCUACCUUGCUGUGCAUCACGAACCCCCAGGGGCUUCGGGGAGCUGGGACUCUAGGCCUCGCCCUGGGCUUUGGAUUCGGAACCACCUCGAAGGCCCUGGGCGCCAGCAGGUGCCUCCCCUGGGGAAGGUGUGGGUGCGGCGGCGGCGGGACAGCCGGGCUGGGCGCAGAGGAGGAUUAGCUGGCCUCAGCGUCUGACAACAGGGCAGAGCAGCCCUGGAGAAAGAGCGGAACCCAGUUAAACCACUGAUUCACGGCAUCCACGUCCACGCCCACCCUGCACUUCCCGUUUCCUGGUGUGUGAGGUAAUACAUUUCCUUUUUUCUUUUAAAGCCAGUUUGAGUCAGAGUUUCUGUUUCUUGUAGCUGAAAGCACCACCUAUUUCCUUUCAUGGCUAAAAUCCACUUACCCGUCCUCCUGGAACCGUAAAAUCAAGUACACAACAGCCAGGUGGGGCCUUGGGGGGUCAACCGCUCAACCUUGCCCUGACCUUCACCGCGGCGGGAGCCCAGAGGAGGGGCUCAUCUCCUGGCUCUGCGUCACCCGUGGACAGAAAACCAAAGGACUCUGCUUAGACUGCAGUGUCUCUGUUUGAAAUGUCUUUCCUAAGAACUAUUAGCACAUCAAAAUGAUAGUUCUUAGGCCUAUGAAAAUAUCCCAUGUAUGAUCUUAUCUCCGUGGAGUUGAGAUGACGAUUUGGGAACAGCAGCAGGUGCAUCACACCUCAUCAAACCCCCCGGCUGGGGUAAGGAAACAGUCUAAGUGCUGUAAGUUUUCCAAAGGAGAAAAAAAUUGUGCGCCAGGAAAGGCAAGGUGAGCUCAUCCUAGGGUCUGCACACGGCACUGAACGCCCAGGUACAACCAGGCAGCCUGUAGGGGGUUUCACUCGAAGGAGGGAAGCUGUGAUCCUACAACCUCAAAGCCAGUUAAAGGUGAUUCCUGUGUAAAUACAGGCUUGUAUAAGUCUUAGUCUCCCCCUUUGGAUUCUUUCUAAAACUUAUGUUCUUGUACCUACAAUUCUUUUUUUUUUUUUAAGAAUUUAGUUAAAAGCGACAGAAAUCAUGUCGAAGCCGCAUGUGGUCCUAGGACACCCCCCAGCAUGGCCAAAGUCGGUGGCUAAGGGCGGGGGGUCACCUGCCCAGAGCGGGGGCGGGGCCAGGAUGAGGCAGGCUUGGCAUGUGUGGAUCCUGACCCAUGAGAACCCACUACCCACCGUUCAGAAGAGUAUGGGCUCCGUGCGUGCGUGGUCGGUGGAAGGAGGAGUGUGUGUGUGGCCCCUGCUCCGGCCACCCCGGCCCUCCCUCCCUCCACACCCCACUGCCCUGGCCUCCGGCUGCCACAUGCUCAGCCCCUAUAUUGCGCUCCCACCACGUCAUGCGAACACAGACUCACCCCCACUCCAUCACGCUCCCACAGCAGGUGGACCACCUCGUCCUCGGGGACGCUGGCUGGUGGUCUCAGCCCACCCCCCACCCGGAUCACUGGCUGGCUGCACCCCACCAGGCAGCGCUCACCAUAGACCUGAGACCUGGCCAAAAUGCAACGAACACUCAUGACACCAAGAUACGAAGGAGGAAACAAAAAUGAACUUCUGGGUGUGAGAUCAGGCCUGGGUGUGGCGUCUUCACAUCACUGCUCUGUAGCCUUUGCAGUUUGUUUGAGCAAAACUUUGUUUUCUUUACUUUAGUUGGCGACCUUUACAUAAAAUGCAUGUUAUGAAAUGAAAUAAAAAGGUGAAGGGCACCUGA